UACGAAGGGGGGCUAGCGUUGCUCGGAAUACUGGGCGUAAAGCGUGCGCAGGCGGUUGUGCAAGACAGAUGUGAAAUCCCCGGGGCUCAACCUGGGGAAUUGCAUUUGUGACUGCACGGCUAGAGUGUGUCAGAGGGUAGGAAUUCCACGUGUAGCAGUGAAUGCGUAGAGAUGUGGAGGAACACCGAUGGCGAAGGCAGCCUGGGUCAAGAUUGACGCUCAUGCACGAAAGCGUGGGAGCAAACAGG
rnacentral:rRNA from 1 species